AAACAUGGCGUACAACCCGGAAGGCAGCAAAACAGUCGAACGUGUUCCAGAACAACAACAGAGAAUGUGGAUUUAACUGGAGAUAAUUAAAUCCACAGGAGGAAAUUAACCAAAGACAACUGACUUCCGGCUCCACAGAGCUUCUUCUUCAUCAGUGAAGGAUGGUCUGGUGUUUUGCCGGCAGCCCCUCAGGGAUCCAGUCCUCCUCCUCCUCCGCCUCGCUGCUCUGGAAGUUUCCACAAAGACCAGCAGUGAAAGGAGGAGAUGACAGCAGCUGAAGUUCUGGACCUGAAAUGGAUCAAAGAAAACAACACGGUUCAUGAGACUGGUUAUAAUUUCCAAAUAACACCAGAGACGGAUGUUAUUCCCCCUCCUCUGCACUACCUCUACUACAUUUCUAAUGCCUUACUAUAAUAUGACAUUUUUAUGACUUUUUAUGACAUUUUUGAUGACAUAAUAUAUUAUGACAUUUUUGACCAUAUACUGCACUAUGACAUUUUUAUAACUUUUUUGACCACAUAAUAAAUUAUGACAUUUUUAUGACAUUUUGGACGCCUAUAUCACCAUAUCAUCACCUAUAUCAUGACGUGUUUGACAUUUUUGACCACAUACUGUACUGUGACAUUUUUAUAACUUUUUUGACCACAUAUUGUACACAUGACAUUUUUUGACCAUUUUUGGCGACACUUUUGACUACAUACUAUUCUAUGACAUUUUUAUGACAACAUACUGUACUACAACAUUUUUAUAACUUUUUUGACCACAUAAUGUAUUAUGACAUUUUUAUGACAUUUCAGACACCUUACUAUACUAUGUCGUUUUUAUGACAUUUUUGACGCCUUGCUAUACUAUGACAUUUUCUGACCAUUUUAGACACGUUAUGUUUUUUUGAUGUUUUUUUUACACCAUACUAUGAUAUUUUUUGAUGGUUUUUGACGCUUUAUACUUUAUUAUGACAUUUUUUGACAAUUUUUGACGCAAUACUAUACUAUGACAUUUUUAUGACAUUUUUGACCACAUAAUAUAUUAUGACAUUUUUAUGACAUUUUUGACGUCUUACUGUACUAUGACAUUUUUAUGACAUUUUUGACCACAUACUGUACUAUGACAUUUUUGACGACAUAUUAUGACAUUUUUGACCACAUACUGUACUAUGACAUUUUUAUGACAUUUUUGAUGCCUUACUGCACUACAACAUUUUUAUAACUUUUUUGACCACAUAAUAUAUUAUGACAUUUUUAUGACAUUUUUGACGCUAUACUUUAUUAUGACGUGUUUGACAUUUUUGACCACAUACUUUAUUAUGACAUUUUGACACUAUACUUUAUUAUGACAUUUUUUGACCAUUUUUCACGCCAUACUAUACUGUGACAUUUUUUGAUGGUUUUCGACGCUUUACUACACUAUGACAUUUUUAUGACAUUUUUGACCACAUACUGUACUAUGACAUUUUUGACGACAUAUUAUGACAUUUUUGACCACAUACUGUACUACGACAUUUUUAUAAAUUUUUUGACCACAUAAUAUUAUUUUUUUGACAUUUUGCAUGCCUUCCUAUAUCAUGACAUGUUUGACAUUUUUGACCACAUACUGUACUAUGACAUUUUAUGACAUUUUUGACACUAUACUUUAUUAUGACAUUUUUUGACCAUUUUUCAUGCCAUACUAUACUGUGACAUUUUUUGAUGGUUUUCGACGCUUUACUACACUAUGGCAUUUUUAUGACAUUUUUGACACCUUACUUUACUAUGACACUUUUGACUACAUACUAUACUAUGACAUUUUUGACCACACACUGUACUAUGACAUUUUUAUGACAUUU